rnacentral:rRNA from 4 species
UGAACGCUGGCGGCAUGCCUUACACAUGCAAGUCGAACGGCAGCACGGGUGCUUGCACCUGGUGGCGAGUGGCGAACGGGUGAGUAAUACAUCGGAACAUGUCCAGUAGUGGGGGAUAGCCCGGCGAAAGCCGGAUUAAUACCGCAUACGAUCUACGGAUGAAAGCGGGGGACCUUCGGGCCUCGCGCUAUUGGGGUGGCCGAUGGCGGAUUAGCUAGUUGGUGGGGUAAAGGCCUACCAAGGCGACGAUCCGUAGCUGGUCUGAGAGGACGACCAGCCACACUGGGACUGAGACACGGCCCAGACUCCUACGGGAGGCAGCAGUGGGGAAUUUUGGACAAUGGGCGAAAGCCUGAUCCAGCAAUGCCGCGUGUGUGAAGAAGGCCUUCGGGUUGUAAAGCACUUUUGUCCGGAAAGAAAUCCUUGGCUCUAAUACAGUCGG